rnacentral:rRNA from 1 species
UGAGUACGAGAUGCUACGGCAUCGAAGCAGUCUAUGUCAUACUUCCAAGAAAAGCUUGCAAUGUCAUAAACAAAUAAUGCCUGUACCAUAAUCGACACAGGUGGGUAGGUAGAGUAUACUAAGGGGCGCGAGAUAACUCUCUCUAAGGAACUCGGCAAAAUGACUCCGUAACUUCGGGAGAAGGAGUGCCUUAUUUUUAUAAGGUUGCAAUAACAAGAUCCAAGCAACUGUUUACCAAAAACACAGGUCUCCGCUAAGUCGUAAGACGAUGUAUGGGGGCUGACGCCUGCCCAGUGCCAGAAGGUUAAAGAAGUUGGUUAGCAUUAGCGAAGCUGAUAACUGAAGCCCUGGUGAACGGCGGCCGUAACAAUAACGGUCCUAAGGUAGCGAAAUUCCUUGUCGGGUAAGUUCCGACCCGCACGAAAGGCGUAAUGAUUUGGAUACUGUCUCGGAGAGGGGCUCGGUGAAAUAGACUUGUCUGUGAAGAUGCGGACUACCUGCACCUGGACAGAAAGACCCUAUGAAGCUUUACUGUAACUUGAGAUUGAAAUUGGACUUUAUCUGCGCAGUAUAGGUGGGAGACGUUGAAAAUAUUCUUGCGGGAAUAUUGGAGUCAUCAGUGAGAUACCACUCUUAUAAUGUUAGAUUUCUAACUUUGUAUCAUUAUCUGGUCAAAGAACAGUUUCAGGCGGGCAGUUUGACUGGGGCGGUCGCCUCCCAAACGGUAACGGAGGCGCACAAAGGUUUCCUCUGAACGUGUAGAAAUCGUAUCUAGAGUGUAAAGGCAUAAGGAAGCUUGACUGUGAGACCUACAAGUCGAGCAGGGACGAAAGUCGGUCUUAGUGAUCUGACGGUGCUGAGUGGAAAGGCCGUCACUCAACGGAUAAAAGUUACUCUAGGAUAACAGGCUGAUCUCCCCCAAGAGUUCACAUCGACGGGGAGGUUUGGCACCUCGAUGUCGGCUCAUCGCAUCCUGGGGCGGUAGUACGUCCCAAGGGUUGGGCUGUUCGCCCAUGAAAGCGGUACGCGAGCUGGGUUCAGAACGUCGUGAGACAGUUCGGUCCAUAUCCGGUGUAGGCGUUAGAAUAUUGAGAGGAGCCUUCUUUAGUACGAGAGGACCGAGAAGGACAUACCUCUGGUGUACCAGUUAUCGUGCCAACGGUAAGCGCUGGGUAGCCAUGUAUGGAGAGGAUAACCGCUGAAAGCAUCUAAGUGGGAAGCCCACCUCAAGAUAAGUAUUC